rnacentral:rRNA from 1 species
AAACUGGAGAUGGCGACCGGCGCACGGGUGAGUAACACGUAUCCAACCUGCCGAUAACUCGGGGAUAGCCUUUCGAAAGAAAGAUUAAUACCCGAUGGCAUAGUUCUUCCGCAUGGUGGAACUAUUAAAGAAUUUCGGUCAUCGAUGGGGAUGCGUUCCAUUAGGUUGUUGGCGGGGUAACGGCCCACCAAGCCUUCGAUGGAUAGGGGUUCUGAGAGGAAGGUCCCCCACAUUGGAACUGAGACACGGUCCAAACUCCUACGGGAGGCAGCAUG